rnacentral:rRNA from 1 species
CGGCGGACGGGUGAGUAAUGCCUAGGAAUCUGCCUGGUAGUGGGGGACAACGUUUCGAAAGGAACGCUAAUACCGCAUACGUCCUACGGGAGAAAGCNGGGGACCUUCGGGCCUUGCGCUAUCAGAUGAGCCUAGGUCGGAUUAGCUAGUUGGUGAGGUAAUGGCUCACCAAGGCGACGAUCCGUAACUGGUCUGAGAGGAUGAUCAGUCACACUGGAACUGAGACACGGUCCAGACUCCUACGGGAGGCAGCAGAG